GGGGAAUAUUGGACAAUGGGGGGAACCCUGAUCCAGCCAUGCCGCGUGUGUGAAGAAGGCCUUUUGGUUGUAAAGCACUUUAAGCGAGGAGGAGAGGCCCUAGGUUAAUACCCUAGGUGCUUGGACGUUACUCGCAGAAUAAGCACCGGCUAACUCUGUGCCAGCAGCCGCGGUAAUACAGAGGGUGCGAGCGUUAAUCGGAUUUACUGGGCGUAAAGCGUGCGUAGGCGGCCAUUUAAGUCGGAUGUGAAAUCCCCGAGCUCAACUUGGGAAUUGCAUUCGAUACUGGGUGGCUAGAGUAUAGGAGAGGAAGGUAGAAUUCCAGGUGUAGCGGUGAAAUGCGUAGAGAUCUGGAGGAAUACCGAUGGCGAAGGCAGCCUUCUGGCCUAAUACUGACGCUGAGGUACGAAAGCAUGGGGAGCAAACAGGAUUAGAUACCCUGGUAGUCCAUGCCGUAAACGAUGUCUACUAGCCGUUGGGGUCUUUGAGACCUUAGUGGCGCAGCUAACGCGAUAAGUAGACCGCCUGGGGAGUACGGUCGCAAGACUAAAACUCAAAUGAAUUGACGGGGGCCCGCACAAGCGGUGGAGCAUGUGGUUUAAUUCGAUGCAACGCGAAGAACCUUACCUGGCCUUGACAUACUAGAAACUUUCCAGAGAUGGAUUGGUGCCUUCGGGAAUCUAGAUACAGGUGCUGCAUGGCUGUCGUCAGCUCGUGUCGUGAGAUGUUGGGUUAAGUC
rnacentral:rRNA from 1 species